UACGGAGGGUGCAAGCGUUAAUCGGAAUUACUGGGCGUAAAGCGCGCGUAGGCGGCUUUGUAAGUCGGAUGUGAAAGCCCUGGGCUUAACCUGGGAAUUGCAUUCGAUACUGCUUAGCUAGAGUAUGGUAGAGGGAAGUGGAAUUUCCGGUGUAGCGGUGAAAUGCGUAGAUAUCGGAAGGAACACCAGUGGCGAAGGCGACUUCCUGGGCCAAUACUGACGCUGAGGCGCGAAAGCUAGGGGAGCGAACGGG
rnacentral:rRNA from 1 species